UGAUGUCUACACACCUCACACAGUCGGAGUCCUCACAUCCGGACUCCUCAAAAACAAAAACAAACCUGCCAAAAUUAAUUGUUUACACUGGGAUUAUUUUGAGCCAAAAUGAAGCUUGUGGGACUUGGGCUGCGGGUUUUGAGACUUAAAACCAGCGGGCAGAGCCGCUCUGCGAAUACCUGUUCCCCUCCGGAAUUGCGAGAACCUCUGCCGUGCUGCCCAAAGAAACGCUUUUGGACCUUCAAAAGAGUGCUGUGCUUCUCCACGUUAACCUUUGGCGCCGGGGUUUACACGGGCAUCUACGUCUCGCAGAACUAUGAGGUCCCCCGCGUAGAUGAUCCGCAAAAGUUGAUCCAGCGUCUCAACGAAAAAGUGAAGGAACUGGUGGACCAAAGCAAGAACAAGUAACAGGCUUGGUAGUUUUGUAUAUGGGGAACGUAGCCGUCACUAAAUUCAAAUAAAUCUGAGCGAGCUUUUGUAAUUUAAAUUGUAUAAAAGUUAUCGCUAUCUGAAUCUGAGUCAAUUAAAUCUGCAAGUUUUUGGCAAAACUGAUUGAGGUUCUUCAGAGACAGUUAUUAAAGCUAUCGGAAUUACGCGAGUCAUGAUGGCAACCCUCGUUUUUUUUCAAAUUUGUGACCAUAUCGUAAAAAGCAUGCCACUUCGUUUACAAAUUAGCCAUUGAAACAAACACUUAAACUCAAACAAAAAAAAAGGUACAACAAAAUUCUAGUAGGUCGCCCGGCGAGAAGCUAGUGGAUGACAUCAAAAAGGAGGCCAAGAAGAUACUGGACGACUGACUGCCGCUAUAAGACCCCACGUUUAGUUUAAAGAAAUUUAUCUAUGAUCAAAUAAAGCAAUGCUACAUGUGUAAAAUUA